AAUCAUGAAUAUUUAUUAAAGAAUGUGUACAUUUGAAUAUACAUGUUUGAGUUAAAGUGCAUUCAGUAAAUCACUUUUAUUUUUACACCAUCAACCGAGAGCUCUCCAUGAAAGCUUUUACUCCACGUACUUCAUCUCUUCUUGAGGUAUUACGUCUUCUGCAUCAUCUUAUGCAACCAUUCACAGGAAGAACAUUGCUACAAUGUUUGCAUUAUCUUUUUGGUCCCACAAGCCAAAAAAAAUUUAAAAAAAACCUUUAAAACCUAUGGGUUUGUAAAUCCAAGUGGCUUCUGUUAAUUCUAAUCAAUGUAUGUGUACCAUAAUCAGAAGAUACAUGUGUGAAAGAGAAGAAAAUCUAUCCUUAGGACAUCAGAGAGCAACAAUAACAGCAAAAUCAAUUUAAGCCAGUGAGUGUAAGUAUACAUAUAUGUGUGUCUCGGCAGGGGAAAUGGGGAGGGAGUAUUGUAUAGGAGUGUAAUCGCACUGAUCAUAACACAUAAAAUAAAAGAGAGGCAGCCAUUGCAUUACCAAACAGAGCAAAUGUGCAAGUACCAUAGUCAUUUGGUUGUCUCUGCACACAAACUGUUUUGAUAACAUACAUCUAGAUUAAAUUUUAUGUAAAUAUAAUUUUUCUACAAGUGUUUGAGUUCUACUCAAGAUAUUGUAACAGAAUUUCACACUUCAUUUAAAAAAAAGCCUUUAAAAUAUAAAGUGUACGUUCAUUCUAGAUGUCUGUUAAAUGUAAGUUGCAGAGAUGUAGAUAGGAGAUAGGUAGAGAUUUUAGAGAGAGAGUUUCUGAGAGUUUUUUUUUUUUCACAUUUUAAGCUACUCACUGGGUGACAAUGUCAUGUUGAGAUUGUCAGUGUUUUGGAAAGGUCAUUUUCCAGGUGCUACUGCUCCAGUCCCCUAAUUUGUCAUAACUGAUGUGAUAGACAGACAGAUUUUACCAUUUGCUUAAGUGUGUGUUAAAUCUUCCAUAUAAUAGGCUGAUAGCAACCCUGUUCAAGAGCUUGAGUGUUCGUACUUUUUAUUGUUUCUUAUCUUUGUGGGCAUUUUCUGCUUCCUCAGAGGCUUUUUUUCCCAAAGUGACUUUUUUUUUUUCUUUUUCUUUGGCUUCCUUGACCUUCUUUAUAGCAUAAAGCUCUUAGUUUGCAAUUUAUUUCAAGGCCACCGUUGCUACCCUCAGUUACGCCAUUUUGUCUGUCUGUGUAUGUGUGUAUGUUUGUUAGAGUGGAGGAGAGGGUGGAGAAGGAGUAGAAAUGUGUAACUUAUUCUGAAAUGAGUUAUAGUUUACAAGUAUUUUCAAAUCUUUGAGAAAAUAAAUAACUUACAAACUUAAUGACCUAUUUCAUCUAUACCUUGUCCUCAUCUGAACAUGUGAGAUGGAUUUAAAAAGAUAAAAUACUUCCCCUGACCCUAGAGGAGCAAAAAACUAUAUGGCAUACAACAAACACCUGUCUGAUAUUAUUGUUGAUGACAUUUGUCCAGCUAAAUAAAGCUUAUUUUUCUCAGGCCACAAAUGUAUUUCUCAAAUCCUGGAAAAAUGAACAGCAAAAAAUAAUUCUCUAUUCUCCCAUCUUCAAAGGCACAUGUCUUAAAGUGUAAGUUUUCCUUUAAUGAAAACAUAGUAAAUGGUAUUUCUUUAAAAUGAUUAGCUGAACAAUGUUUGACUAUGAAACUAUAAGAAAGGUUAAGUGUUUUUGUUUGUUUAAGUGAUUGAUUUAAGAAUUUCAGGACACAGUAGGUUGUUUUUGUCAUUAAAAAUGUUUCCCAACAAAGCAAGUAUGCAAGACUUUAGUUAACUCUUUUUCAUAUCCACAAACUUCUGUUAAAAAAAGAGUUGGGAUACUUUUGUCUGUAUUUCUCUAUUUGAGUUCAUUUACAACCAGUAUUGUCCAAAUGUAAGAACAAUCUGUUGGCCUACAAGACAUCAGACAAAUCCUGUAAUAUUCAAUACAAAAAGUUUUUAUAUUUUUUGAAGCAAAAUGUUGCAUGCCAUGAGAUAUAAAGAGAUUGUACUUCCAGGACAACUAGCAUUCAAUUCUAUGUCUAGAAUUCAGUGAGAAUUACAUGUAUGUUUAUUGCAGCACUAUUUACAACAGCAAACACUUGGAACCAACCCAAAUGCCCAUCAAUGAUAGACUGGAUAAAGAAAAUGUGGCUCAUAUACACCAUGGAAUACUAUGCAGCCAUAAAAAGGAAUGAAUUCAUGUCCUCUGCAGGGACAUGGAUGAAGCUGGAAGCCGUCAUCCUCAGCAAACUAACACAGGAACAGAAAACCAAACGCCACGUGUUCUCACUCAUAAGUGGGAAUUGAGAACACAUGGACACAGGGAGGGGAACGUCACAUACUGGGGCCUGUCGGGUGAUGCAGGACAAGGGGAGGGAGGACAUUAGGACAAAUACCUAAUGCAUACAGGGCAUAAAGCCUGGAUGAUGGGUUGAUAAGUGCAGCAAACCACCAUGGCCACAUGUAUCCUAUGUAACAAACCUGCACAUUCUGCACAUGUAUCCCAAAACUUAAAGUCAAAUGCAAAAAAAAACUAAAUGCCUCUAACAAGACCAAAAAAGAAUUAUGAGUGAGUUAUAAACCUUGGUAAUGUGUUUUCUGCCCCCAAUUUCAGUUUCUUAUUAUAAUGUGCAUCCAUAGUUCUUAUAAGCUUUUUAAAAGAAAGUCCCUAUUUUAAAAGUGUAACCUAAAAUAGCUCAUACCUGAGAAAAUGCUUGCUAUUGUUUUAAACAGUUAAAGAGACAUGACUCAGCUUAUUCUCAUUUAGCUAGUAUUUUAUCCAACAGCUUAAAAAUAAAAAACUAAUUUUUAAUAAGAUACAGAAAAAGGAGAUUUUUUUGCCUGAGCAUAAUUGGGAACAGAAGAAUGGGAAAGCAGAAAUAAACAAUGCUGAACAAAAGCUAAAGUAGAGAAUAGAAGAGGAAAACAAAUAGAAAGCUAUAGUUCAAUUUGGGAUUUCAUAUCACUGUAGAAGAGGUGCAUGGCUGCUAAAUACCUAAAAAUACAUGUAAUAAAAAUGUUUGUUUUUCCAUCUGUCCUUGCUCUUCCCUCUCUCUUCAUUCAUUAAAAAUGGAAGACAAACUAGGUAGAAAUGCUGCAUUACCAUGGGGGUCAGCAAAGUCCUGAUCAUCAAACCUAGCACAGAUUGGGGUUAUGGGAAGGUUAAGUAGUAAAAUGGGAGAAAAUUAACUUGUCAGGAAAAGGCUGUGAAGCUGGCUGGUGAAGGUUGUUAGGUCUCUGUGCAUGGUUACAGCACACUGACUCAGGUGCAUCAAGCAGGGAGAAGGUCACACCCCUUGAGGCUGGAUGACAAUCUGCCGAUUUAGACACUAGCCCUGGGUCAUCCUAGUUUUACUAAGUAAUAUCUCAAACUGGGAGUUGUCUGACAAGGUGUGUAUAUGAGGAUAAAUUCCAGUCAAAUGCAUUCCAGAAACAACUUCUUUUUCUGUUCUGUUAACUGCAGGACAUUUGUUUAAUUAGAUAAUGUGCAAUGAAAUGCAAGAAAAUGCCUAUUGCUGAAUAGUCAUGAGAAGAGAAAAAAUAUUUGCCUUUCUUUUUUAAAACACAGGAUGUUAAAUUCUCUUUAGUUAAGAUGGUAACUUAUUUUCAUGUUCCAUAUCUAAAUGUAUCUCUUUGAAGCACAGGUAGAUUUUUUUAAAGUACAACCUAUUAGAUUGGCAAAAAUGAAGACUUUUAAAACAUAAUAUAUUUGGUAAGGCUGAGGGAGCUAGGUAGUGUCAAAUACUGCUGAUGGGAAAGCAAACUGUUACAUCACCUAUGAAACGAAAUUUAGCACUACACAGCAAAAUUGUAUGUGAAUAUAAGAUCUCAUUUCUAAAAAUCACCCCUAAAAUACACUGCAAAAAAUACAAAGACAGAUAAUCAUGAAGCUAUUCACUGCAGGCUUAUUUGUGAUAGCAGAAGACUGGAAACAACUCAUAUGUCCUUAGUAGGGUUCCAGUUGAAUAAGCAAUGGUACAGUCAAACAAAGGAGCAUGCAGUUCUGAAAGAACAGGAGAAAUAUUUUUAUACAUUGCUGUGCAACUAUCUCCAAAUUUAUUAUUAGGUGAAAAAAGCAAAAAGGAGAAGGCAUGUAUUGUACGCAUCUACUAAUUUAAUAAGGAGGUGAGAUUAAAAUACACAUGUAUUUUUUCAUACUGCAAAUAAAUCAACAUUGAAAUACAAAGUUACUGAUGGGGAAAGGAGGAGGAAGUGGAAAGGACAGAAAUAAAAGUUAGAUUUUCCUGAAUGUAUCUUCUUUUGCAGAUUUGAUUUUGUCACUAUGUAAAUAUUUUACAUUACUAAUUACGUUAAAUCUUUAAAAUGGAAUUCUUAACAAAAAGGAGCAAAUAAAUCUAACUGCAUGGAGGUAGUGACACAACCACACAGGGAAGAGUUAUUUCAAGUGACUUUGGCAUAGCAUAGUUUGAUUAUUUAUUCAUUAUGAGACAGACAUACCUGAAAAACAAAACUUUGGGUAUAGGAAAUUUGGGUAUAAAAAUUACUUUUACUAUUUUUAUUGUUGGUAUUUAUUCUGAGAUUAUUUGCUACCUUUGUGGAAUUGAACAUAUAUUUCAUUAUGUUGGUAUUACUGGUAAUUAGUAUUUUUAGCAUGGGGGAAGGAGAUAGGGACACAAGAUCAAUGAGGUGAGUAAAAACUCUGUAGCUCUGAAUUUGCAUUUGAAAUAUCAGAAGGAAGGAACUCAUACUGCAUUUUAUCCUAAAAGGAACCACAGCUUUUAGAGAAACGAAGGAUUCUGUUUCUGGAAUGAGAAAUGUUCAAGAUGAGCCUGGAAUAUCAUGCCAUGCCAGGAAGUAAAGAGACUUUCAAAACCUGUGGAGUUGUAUCAAAAGAACUAAGGUGUAAUUUAACGAGUCUUUCACUUGUCAAGAUAAUGAAUUUAUACAUGAGUGGAAACAGUAACUGUAAUGAUUGGAAUAUAUAAAAUGUAUUAAUUUCCAUGAAUUCAUAAUAAUAAUAAAGAUAAAAUGGAUUGGAUC
rnacentral:lncRNA from 1 species